rnacentral:lncRNA from 1 species
CAAUUAUUGCAAUUUAAUAAAUCUACUAAAUACAGGUUGAAAAAAGGCAUUUUGGGCUAGCAAAAGGGCCAUAAAGCUUAAUUAGGCUCAGGGGCUCCAUUGUCAUUUCAGAAAGUUAAAGCGAUCACGUGAUAUCAAGCGCAGUGCGCACGUUAGCGUCAUCUUCACUCUCAUGGCUAAGAUGAGCUGAAACAAUGUCCGAGAUCUUACAAAAAUGGAAACUUAAAAAGAAAAAAAAAAGAAAGAAGAAGAAACCUACGGUUGUUCUGUUCCUUUCAAUUUCACCAAGCUUUCAUCUUUGCCUUCAAUUCUAUUUUCAAUUUUCGAUUGAAUCUCUUCACCAAACCUAACUCGUCGUAGCCCCCCCUCCCUAUCUUUUUUAAUUACAGAAAGAAAAAAAAAAUGAAAUUCGUUUGUUAAUCUAAAAGAUCUAAUAAUAAUCUUUAGAUGUGUCUGAAACCUUCGAUCGAAGAAGACAGAUGCUAGGAGCGAUCCACUUCGGAGUAUUAGCAGCGUGUUUCGUCCUCUUCGUCCCCAUGGCCAUGGCAGGCUGGCACCUCAGCAGGCACAAGAUGCUCUUCUUCAGCGGCGCUCUCUUCAUCUCCCUCGCCGUCUGCGUCCACCUCACCCCUUACUUCCCUUCCGUCUCCGACAUCGUCGCCUCCGUCUCCUCCGUCGUCGUCUACGAUCACCGCGUCUCCUGCAUCAACGAGGUGAACCAGAUCGUCUGGGACGUUAAGCCUCGACCUAGGAACAACAACAGCAACAACAACGGUUCUUCGAAGCUUGAUUACUUCGAGAAGAAUUGGGAUUGGGUGAGAUCGAGGAAAGUUCUGAGCUGCGAGUUUCAGAAGUUGGAUAAGUUCGAUGUCUCCGAGCUCUUGAACGGAUCUUGGAUCGUCAUCGCUGGGGACUCUCAGGCGAGGUUCGUUGCGUUGUCGUUAUUGGGCCUGGUGUUGGGCUCGGGGUCUGAAGCUAUGGGCUCGGUUAGAGAGGAGCUUUUCAAGAGGCAUAGUGAUUACAGUAUUAUGCCUUCACCAAACCUAACUCGUCGUAGCCCCCCUCCCUAUCUUUUUUUAAUUACAGAAAGAAAAGAAAAAUGAAAUUCGUUUGUUAAUCUAAAAGAUCUAAUAAUAAUCUUUAGAUGUGUCUGAAACCUUCGAUCGAAGAAGACAGAUGCUAGGAGCGAUCCACUUCGGAGUAUUAGCAGCGUGUUUCGUCCUCUUCGUCCCCAUGGCCAUGGCAGGCUGGCACCUCAGCAGGCACAAGAUGCUCUUCUUCAGCGGCGCUCUCUUCAUCUCCCUCGCCGUCUGCGUCCACCUCACCCCUUACUUCCCUUCCGUCUCCGACAUCGUCGCCUCCGUCUCCUCCGUCGUCGUCUACGAUCACCGCGUCUCCUGCAUCAACGAGGUGAACCAGAUCGUCUGGGACGUUAAGCCUCGAC